rnacentral:rRNA from 1 species
CCUACGGGAGGCAGCAGUGAGGAAUAUUGGUCAAUGGACGAGAGUCUGAACCAGCCAAGUAGCGUGAAGGAUGACUGCCCUAUGGGUUGUAAACUUCUUUUAUAUGGGAAUAAAAUGUUCCACGUGUGGGAUUUUGUAUGUACCAUAUGAAUAAGGAUCGGCUAACUCCGUGCCAGCAGCCGCGGUAAUACGGAGGAUCCGAGCGUUAUCCGGAUUUAUUGGGUUUAAAGGGAGCGUAGGUGGAUUGUUAAGUCAGUUGUGAAAGUUUGCGGUUCAACCGUACAAUUGCAGUUGAAACUGGCAGUCUUGCGUACAGUAGAGGUGGGCGGAUUUCGUGUUGUAGCGGUUAAAUGCUUAGAUAUCACGAAGAACUCCGAUUGCGAAGGCAGUUCACUGGACUGCAACUGACACUGAUGCUCGACAGUGUGUGUAUCAAACAGGAUUAGCUACCCUGGUAGUC